GGAGGCAAGUAGGACCGAACUAGUCACCUAUCGGACUGCAGGCGAUUGGCUAGGUUUACAGAGAAUGCGAGGGAGGAGGGAGCGAAAAAUAGAAGCAGCCGCCCAAGCAGCGGCGGCGGCAUCGAACUGUCGCUGGCGUCCCUGAUCUGCGAAGGCUUGCAGCGCCCUGGAUUUUUCUUUUUCUUACGAGAUUUGGACGCUUCUACGCUUGAGUCGGUCCAGCAUCAUGCGUAAUGUGCAGUUCAAAAUCUACGAGCCACUGGAAUACGAAUUUGACGUCUGCGAAACUGGGAACAGCAUCGGAAACUUCCCGAUGGCUGGAUGGACUACGCUGCGAAACGAAUAGCACAACUGGGUGCAGCUAACUGUUCCAAGAACAUAUACUAUCGCCAAAGCCAUUGUUUUGGCCGCGCCAGUUUGAGAUAGGUGGGAAACUUGGAAGACGGAGUUUGGAAAGGAGAUAGAUGCUCGCGAUAUUGUCAUCUGAGACAAUGAGGCACCAGUGACCACGAAAUACACAAAGCAUAUUGCCAUGAAACGGAGUUUUCGGUUGAUGCUCGUGGAGUCGUAAGAAACCUGCUUGAGGUUGCAAAGGGAUCUGACACUGGAAAUGAACGAAAGUUCAUGGCUUCCAUGGGAAAAGGAAACAAAUGGGGAGUGCUCAGCUUCUUUUUCCCGUGAAAAGUCUUGUUAUUUGCAAGAAGAAAAGUGGUAAGCGGUCCCUUAUGUAUACAACAUGGCUGAUAGUCAAUUCCCUGCCACCACUGGAUUGAAUUUCCAGGC